GAUGUCCACACACUGAACACACUGUAUGAUCAGUGUCAUCUAACAGUCUCUGAAUGCAAUGAUUCUAACCAUGGAUUGUAGCUGGGUCUUUCUCUUCCUCUUGUCAGUAACUGUAGGAGUUCACUCCCAGGUACAGCUGCAGCAGUCUGGAGCUGAGUUGGUGAAGCCUGGGUCUUCAGUGAAGAUGUCCUGCAAGGCUUCUGGCUACACUUUCACCAGCUACUAUAUAUACUGGAUAAAGCAGAGGCCUGGACAGGGCCUUGAGUGGAUUGGGCGUAUUGGUCCUGGAAGUGGAGAUACUAACUACAAUGAGAAGUUCAAGGGCAAGGCCACAUUUACUGUAGACAAAUCUUCCAGCACAGCCUACAUGCAACUCAGCAGCCUGACACCUGAGGACACUGCGGUCUAUUACUGUGCAAGACACAGCAUUGUAACCACAUGCUGA